rnacentral:rRNA from 1 species
CGACGACGCCGCCCGG